AGCGAACGCUGGCGGUAUGCCUUACACAUGCAAGUCGAACGGUAACAGGUCUUCGGAUGCUGACGAGUGGCGAACGGGUGAGUAAUACAUCGGAACGUGCCUAGUAGUGGGGGAUAACUACUCGAAAGAGUGGCUAAUACCGCAUGAGAUCUACGGAUGAAAGCAGGGGAUCGCAAGACCUUGUGCUACUAGAGCGGCCGAUGGCAGAUUAGGUAGUUGGUGGGAUAAAAGCUUACCAAGCCGACGAUCUGUAGCUGGUCUGAGAGGACGAUCAGCCACACUGGGACUGGGACACGGCCCAGACUCCUACGGGAGGCAGCAGUGGGGAAUUUUGGACAAUGGGCGAAAGCCUGAUCCAGCAAUGCCGCGUGCAGGAUGGAGGCCUUCGGGUUGUAAACUGCUUUUGUACGGAACGAAAAGCCCCGGGUUAAUACCCUGGGGUCAUGACGGUACCGUAAGAAUAAGCACCGGCUAACUACGUGCCAGCCGCCGCCGUAA
rnacentral:rRNA from 1 species